rnacentral:snRNA from 1 species
AGCUUUGCACAGUGUGGCAUUAUCAUAGCCAAUGAGGUUUAUCCGAGGUAUGAUUAUUGCUAAUUGAAAAAAAAAAAUAAGAUGGU